AAAAACAUCGCCUUUAGCCCCACAAGUAUUAAAGGUCCCGCCUGCCCAGUGAAUAUUUUUAACGGCCGCGGUAUCCUAACCGUGCAAAGGUAGNGUAAUCACUUGUCCCCUAAAUAGGGACNUGUAUGAAUGGCUAACUGAGGGCACACCUGUCUCCUGCGGCCAACUAAUGAAACUGAUCUACUGGUACAAAAGCCAGAAUGCCCCCACAAGACGAGAAGACCCUGUGGAGCUUAUAACCCCCUCGCGCUACCAGACCUGCCCCCCACCACGCACACCUGACUAGCGGACGGUUUAAGUUGGGGCGACUACGGAGCACAACAAACCCUCCAAGAAAAAGGGGCUCACCCCCCCACUACAAGGCCCACACGCCAACAAGACACCCCCNCGACCCAGUAUAGCUGACCACCGAACCAAGU
rnacentral:rRNA from 1 species